rnacentral:rRNA from 1 species
CUUUUACAAUGAAGAGUUUGAUCCUGGCUCAGGAUGAACGCUAGCUACAGGCUUAACACAUGCAAGUCGAGGGGCAGCAUCAUCAAAGCUUGCUUUGAUGGAUGGCGACCGGCGCACGGGUGAGUAACACGUAUCCAACCUGCCGACAACACUGGGAUAGCCUUUCGAAAGAAAGAUUAAUACCGGAUGGCAUAGUUUUCCCGCAUGGGAUAAUUAUUAAAGAAUUUCGGUUGUCGAUGGGGAUGCGUUCCAUUAGGCAGUUGGCGGGGUAACGGCCCACCAAACCAACGAUGGAUAGGGGUUCUGAGAGGAAGGUCCCCCACAUUGGAACUGAGACACGGUCCAAACUCCUACGGGAGGCAGCAGUGAGGAAUAUUGGUCAAUGGACGAGAGUCUGAACCAGCCAAGUAGCGUGAAGGAUGACUGCCCUAUGGGUUGUAAACUUCUUUUAUACGGGAAUAAAGUUAGCCACGUGUGGCUUUUUGUAUGUACCGUAUGAAUAAGGAUCGGCUAACUCCGUGCCAGCAGCCGCGGUAAUACGGAGGAUCCGAGCGUUAUCCGGAUUUAUUGGGUUUAAAGGGAGCGUAGGCGGGUUGUUAAGUCAGUUGUGAAAGUUUGCGGCUCAACCGUAAAAUUGCAGUUGAUACUGGCGACCUUGAGUGCAACAGAGGUAGGCGGAAUUCGUGGUGUAGCGGUGAAAUGCU